UGUGAGCAUCGAUUGAUGUGAAAAUCUUUGUCUGGCAAAGGAGCUGGGUUUCAGCAGGCAGUCACAUUUCAUCAAUGAAGAUAACUUAAGAAUGUAAUCCUGAUGCUGAUUUGAGGGAAAGCACGUGAAUCUGGACCGGAAGUAAGAA